UACGUAGGGGGCUAGCGUUGUCCGGAAUCAUUGGGCGUAAAGGGUGCGUAGGUGGCGUGGUAAGUCGGGUGUGAAAUUUCGGAGCUUAACUCCGAAACUGCAUUCGAUACUGCCGUGCUUGAGGACUGGAGAGGAGACUGGAAUUUACGGUGUAGCAGUGAAAUGCGUAGAGAUCGUAAGGAAGACCAGUGGCGAAGGCGGGUCUCUGGACAGUUCCUGACACUGAGGCACGAAGGCCAGGGGAGCAAACGGG
rnacentral:rRNA from 1 species